GACGAACGCUGGCGGCGUGCUUAACACAUGCAAGUCGAACGCUGAAGCACCAGCUUGCUGGUGUGGAUGAGUGGCGAACGGGUGAGUAAUACGUGAGUAACCUGCCCUUGACUCUGGGAUAAGCCCGGGAAACUGGGUCUAAUACUGGAUGCUACAUGUCACCGCAUGGUGGUGUGUGGAAAGGGUUUACUGGUCUUGGAUGGGCUCACGGCCUAUCAGCUUGUUGGUGAGGUAAUGGCUCACCAAGGCGACGACGGGUAGCCGGCCUGAGAGGGUGACCGGCCACACUGGGACUGAGGCACGGCCCAGACGCCUACGGGAGGCAGCAGUGGGGAAUAUUGCACAAGGGGCGAAAGCCUGAUGCAGCGACGCCGCGUGAGGGAUGACGGCCUUCGGGUUGUAAACCUCUUUCAGCAGGGAAGAAGCCACAAGUGACGGUACCUGCAGAAGAAGCGCCGGCUAACUACGUG
rnacentral:rRNA from 1 species